rnacentral:rRNA from 1 species
UACGUAGGUGGCAAGCGUUGUCCGGAUUUACUGGUGUAAAGGGCGAGUAGGCGGGACAUCAAGUCUGAUGUGAAAACUAGAGGCUUAACUUCUAGACCGCAUUGGAAACUGGGGUUCUUGAGUGAUGGAGAGGCAGGCGGAAUUCCUAGUGUAGCGGUGAAAUGCGUAGAUAUUAGGAGGAACACCAGUGGCGAAGGCGGCCUGCUGGACAUUAACUGACGCUGAGGCGCGAAAGCGUGGGGAGCAAACA